rnacentral:rRNA from 1 species
AUUGAACGCUGGCGGCAGGCCUAACACAUGCAAGUCGAGCGGUAGCACAGAGAGCUUGCUCUCGGGUGACGAGCGGCGGACGGGUGAGUAAUGUCUGGGAAACUGCCUGAUGGAGGGGGAUAACUACUGGAAACGGUAGCUAAUACCGCAUAAUGUCGCAAGACCAAAGUGGGGGACCUUCGGGCCUCAUGCCAUCAGAUGUGCCCAGAUGGGAUUAGCUAGUAGGUGGGGUAACGGCUCACCUAGGCGACGAUCCCUAGCUGGUCUGAGAGGAUGACCAGCCACACUGGAACUGAGACACGGUCCAGACUCCUACGGGAGGCAGCAGUGGGGAAUAUUGCACAAUGGGCGCAAGCCUGAUGCAGCCAUGCCGCGUGUGUGAAGAAGGCCUUCGGGUUGUAAAGCACUUUCAGCGGGGAGGAAGGCGGUGAGGUUAAUAACCUCAUCGAUUGACGUUACCCGCAGAAGAAGCACCGGCUAACUCCGUGCCAGCAGCCGCGGUAAUACGGAGGGUGCAAGCGUUAAUCGGAAUUACUGGGCGUAAAGCGCACGCAGGCGGUCUGUCAAGUCGGAUGUGAAAUCCCCGGGCUCAACCUGGGAACUGCAUUCGAAACUGGCAGGCUAGAGUCUUGUAGAGGGGGGUAGAAUUCCAGGUGUAGCGGUGAAAUGCGUAGAGAUCUGGAGGAAUACCGGUGGCGAAGGCGGCCCCCUGGACAAAGACUGACGCUCAGGUGCGAAAGCGUGGGGAGCAAACAGGAUUAGAUACCCUGGUAGUCCACGCCGUAAACGAUGUCGAUUUGGAGGUUGUGCCCUUGAGGCGUGGCUUCCGGAGCUAACGCGUUAAAUCGACCGCCUGGGGAGUACGGCCGCAAGGUUAAAACUCAAAUGAAUUGACGGGGGCCCGCACAAGCGGUGGAGCAUGUGGUUUAAUUCGAUGCAACGCGAAGAACCUUACCUGGUCUUGACAUCCACAGAACUUUCCAGAGAUGGAUUGGUGCCUUCGGGAACUGUGAGACAGGUGCUGCAUGGCUGUCGUCAGCUCGUGUUGUGAAAUGUUGGGUUAAGUCCCGCAACGAGCGCAACCCUUAUCCUUUGUUGCCAGCGGUUAGGCCGGGAACUCAAAGGAGACUGCCAGUGAUAAACUGGAGGAAGGUGGGGAUGACGUCAAGUCAUCAUGGCCCUUACGACCAGGGCUACACACGUGCUACAAUGGCAUAUACAAAGAGAAGCGACCUCGCGAGAGCAAGCGGACCUCAUAAAGUAUGUCGUAGUCCGGAUUGGAGUCUGCAACUCGACUCCAUGAAGUCGGAAUCGCUAGUAAUCGUAGAUCAGAAUGCUACGGUGAAUACGUUCCCGGGCAU